rnacentral:rRNA from 1 species
AUUGAACGCUGGCGGAAUGCUUUACACAUGCAAGUCGAGCGGCAGCACGGACUUCGGUCUGGUGGCGAGUGGCGAACGGGUGAGUAAUACAUCGGAACGUGCCCAGUCGUGGGGGAUAACGUAGCGAAAGCUACGCUAAUACCGCAUACGAUCUAAGGAUGAAAGCGGGGGAUCGCAAGACCUCGCGCGAUUGGAGCGGCCGGUGGCAGAUUAGGUAGUUGGUGGGGUAAAGGCUAACCAAGCCGACGAUCUGUAGCUGGUCUGAGAGGACGACCAGCCACACUGGGACUGAGACACGGCCCAGACUCCUACGGGAGGCAGAAGUGGAGAAUUUUGGACAAUGGGCGCAAGCCUGAUCCAGCCGUUCCGCGUGCAGGAUGAAGGCCCUCGGGUUGUAAACUGCUUUUGUACGGAGCGAAAAGGCUCUGGUUAAUACCUGGGGCUCAUGACGGUACCGUAAGAAUAAGCACCGGCUAACUACGUGCCAGCAGCCGCGGUAA